GGCCGGUUAGCUCAGUUGGUUGAGUGUGGUGCUGAUAACACCAAGGUUGCGGGUUUGAUCCCCGUUCGGUCC
rnacentral:tRNA from 1 species